UCAAUUCGGUGCAGGCUUUUUGUAGGUUUUUUUUUCUGUUUUUUAUUUUUUUGGUAUAUUUUGGUAAAUAAAAAAGUUAUAAUAUUUUAGUUAUUUUUUAUUUUUUUUUGUAAUAAUUUUGUAAAAAACCCGACCCCUUGUGUAUUAACUACUUUUAAUGUAUAGAUUUUUUUUGGGUUCACAUUAAAGCUAUGAUUUCUAAAAGAAGGUAAAAAAAUUUGCAAAAAUCUUACGUUUGCCC
rnacentral:lncRNA from 1 species